ACGGCUUACCUUGGUUGGCCGAAGGCGACGGAGACGAUGACAAAGUUGAAACCGAACGAAAGGCAGAGGAAGCGGCUUACCUUGGUUGGCCGAAGGCGACGAAGACGAUGACAAAGCUCCUUCUGUGUGAUUGAACCACGCUUGGCAGGGCACCCUUUUCACCUUUCCUUGCGUUCUUCUCUCUGUGAUUUGCGUUUCCUUUGCUUCUGGUUAUCUAGCCUAUUAUCCCGGUUUCUUGAGAUGAAGGAACGAAGACGAUGGCAAUGCUGGGGUUUUUUUUAUUUGCAGGAGGCGAUCAAGAAGACAGUGAUGUUAAUGGCUCGGCGGGUAGAUAACGGGCGGCAGGCUGAGGGUCGACCACCAUUAAGGCGCCCAUUACUGAAGCCAACGGACGACGAUUACUGCUGCAACGUUCGGCGUCCUUUACUGUAGAAAGCGGUCACUGGGUUAAAGGCGAAGAAGAUGAACAACGUCUUCAAAACGACGUCGUUCAGCCAUUUGUCCUUUUGAUCCAUGCAGUUUUGAAAGUCUUGUAAUUAAACCCCUGGUUUAAACUGUAAUUGGCCCCCUGCAUUUGCGCGCCUUUUUUAAUGUAGUCCUUGGAUUUUAA